rnacentral:ncRNA from 1 species
CGUGGCGACGCGGAAUCUGAAGGAAGCCGGCGGCAAACAUCUGCUCCGACGAACAGAAACUUCAUACAAGGCCAAUGCCCGUGUGGUAAGUGUGCAUAACAACACGAAGCCCGAUAGCUAUUCGGAACGGGCAGGGGUAAAUGAAGCGGAGAUAAGAUGGAAAGUUGA